AGAUCCUGUUCGCUCCAGUAAGCAGUAAGUAAUGCAUCAGGCAGACACAGAGAUUCACAUCGGUCACAUUCCGGCUCCAUCGUGCCAGGAGACGCUUACCUGGAUGGUUGCGAGGUUCAAGGAUUUCACCACGCCCGGGAUGCGCUCCAGAAACGUCCGGAGCCAGAGCGCGCUGCCGUUUCUGCGAGAAGCCUCAUCCUCCUGCAAGUAGUAGAAGAGGCGCAGCGCUUUGGCUGCCCGGACGGGGCGCGCCGGCCCAUCCCCGGGGCCCAAGUCGAGGCCUCCCAGAAAGGGGGGCAGGAAAAGGGGGUUGGCAGUGAGCGGAGGGACGUAGAGCGGGAAGGUGAGGUCGGGCAGCAGCGCCUCGAUGCGCGACCCGCCUUGCACCAAGCUGAGCAGCGGGUUGGCGCUGCUGCAGUUGUGGCCGGGGCUGCUCCGCGCGCAGAGCUGGGCGAAGGGGAGCGCGGCGCCGUCGGGGCUGCGGAGCCCCCGCACCGCCUGGUCCAGCGCCAGCAGCUCGGCGAAGGCCUCCCGGGUGAGGAGCGAGCCUCCGCCGCGGGCCACGGCCAGGAGGGAGGCGAAGGAGCCCUCGGUGCUCAGCCUCUCGGCGGAGAAGCGCCGCGCGUCGUCGGUGGGGAAGUGCGCCUGCACGAAGCGCCGCUCGCCCUUGGCGGGGCCCCCGAGCGGCGUGAACUGGCCCUCGAUGUCGUUGUCCUCCAGGCUGCUCAGGAACGCGAAGCCGGCGCCCAAAGCGGCCGAGAGCGCCACGGGCACGAGCAGGAAGGGCCACGGGUGCGCGCCCACCUGGGCGCCCAGGGCCCGCAGCGCGCGCGACAGGGGCCUCUCCACGCAGUCCGUGUGGCAGUCGAGGGGCGCCAUCGCUUUUUCUCUUUCUCCUCCUCCCAGCGGCAAAGAGAGUGAAGAGAGUUCAGACCGUUAUCCGAGUAAGCCAGGCGUAGGGCAGCCUGGCCCCACUUAGCACGAGUUUCUGAAACAUCUCGAAAAGGGGGAACUGAGCGGGAAAAGAUGGUAAAAAUGGCCGCUGGGCGGAGGUUCGCCGUCCGGGAAACGCCCAUCCGCUAACCGCCUCAGAAGUUUGUUGGCGGGGAGGGAGCGAGGCGAUGCUGAGGGAAACUCCGUUCAGCGAAGGCAUCAGUUUCUUGGCUGCAAUGUGACCGCUAUGUCUGAGGGAAACUCCCGAGAAAAUCCAGAACGAGAGGGCGCAGUGCCUUUUUAGCCAAGAUGCAAUGAAAGUGAUCUUUUAACCAGUAGCCCGUUUAACUGGGAAUUUCCUUCGUCUCGGCAGGCUUUUUUCCGCAAGGGAGGGCGACCUGCGGCUCCCCACUUCUGUUUACUGUACACUCACCGCAUUUCCAGUGCAGAGUUUUUAAUUCAUGUUCCCAUGACAUGUUAUGUAUUUUGUACUCCAUUAUAAAAUACUGCUGACUGGAGUCCUUAAGCCACUCCUAAUUUGUCUCUCUCCUGCCAUCAGCACCCUCAAAGAGAAACAAAUCUGACAGUAAUGAAGCUGUCCUGAUGAGAACAGUCGAAGGCAGAAAGAGGCAUGAAACACACUGGCGGGGGGACGACGACGACAACAACUUAAUAGCGCUCUGAGGCAGGAAUGUGAACACACCCCAAGUAUAAAAAGAAUUGUAUUUUACUUGCAGUUUUACUUCUUAUGCACAUGACCUGAUUUUUUAAGGAACUUGCUUGCUGCUGCAUCUGCUGUUUUGAUAGUAUUUAGCUCCUUCUGAUAAAAAAAAAUUAAUGAUGAGUGUGCCACGUAUAAAUAUAUAUAUAUAUUUUAAAAGCUUGCUGAAGACCAGUUAGGAUCCAGAAGAGCAAAAAGGCACUGUUCUUUAAAGCUAGCACUAAGAAGAUUUCACAGAAGUUCAAUGAAGCAGUUUUGGAAUAAACUGGUGAGAAAUUGCAGAUUCACAAGAGUUCAUGAAUCUAGAGAUUACUAUAAUUAUGUGAUUGCCAAGCAAGUUCUUUUAAAUGCCACAGUGAAAGGUUUUAGAUUUUUUUAUUGUACAGAAUGAUGCUUGUGCCGGAUUUCAGAUACCACAAGAAUAUAAAUAGAUUUCCUGCUCAUAUGACAUACUAGUAGAUAUACUUAGGAUGUGACAUAGGCUCUGAACAUACCAGAUUUUUAAUGUGCAUGUGGCUUGCACAGCCCUGACUUUUAAUUGCACUCUUUCUCAAUGUUUUCCAUCCACAGCUGUGGAUGCGCUACUGUUCUCUCCCACCCCCCAAGAAUUCCAGAACCCUGUGGUCCACUGUGGGCAUGCCUGCAGGUGUUUGUUUCCCUGUGCUUGCAGUCACUUUAUAUAUAUGUUUAUGUAUAUGCACGUUUUCCAAAAUAUCAAACAUGUAUUUUUUCCCUCCUUACUGUACUAUCCACAGGUCAGUAAAAUCUAUUUACUCUUAACCGUAUAUCAUUUAUGAACAGGUUAAAAAGCACUAGUUCCAAUACAGAUUCUUGGGGAACCUUUCUUAGUACAUGACUCUCUGGACCAGCCACAAUAUCUCAACCUGAUUUAUCUCACAGCAUUUUUGUGAGGAUAAAAUGGAGAAGAGGGGGCCAUGUAUGCCACACUGAGCUCCUAGGAAGAAAGGUGAGAUAUAAAUUUAGGAAUGAGUAAAUCCCUCCAUUGUGAGAAUUGUCCAUUUAUUCCUCCUCUGUGCUUCCAGCUACUGAUGCACAACUACUAAAAUUGCUCAGGAGCCUUGGGUGAGGGACUUUGUCAAAGGCUUUUUAAAUAUCCCAAGUGUACAGUGCUUACUAGAUAACCCUGAGGGAUAGCUCAGUUGGUAGAGCAUGAGGUUGUGGGUUGUAGGUUCAAGCCCCACAUUGGAUGAAAGAUUCCUGCAUUGCAAGGGGUUUGGACUAGAUCAGGCAUGUCCAACAGGUAGAUCGUGAUCUACUGUUAGAUCACUGGACGUCUGUGGUAGAGAUGGGUCCCCCUAAAGCUCAACAAGUUUGGCUCCUCUAAAAAAAGCUCACCAACUUCGACCUGAACCGCAAGAAAACGGGGCUUUCCUCCUCCCUAAAAAAAGCUGAACAACUUUGACCUGAACCCUCCCAAAAGGGAGUAGAUCACUGCCAGUUGUUUACUUUGUGAGUAGAUCGCAGUCUCUUGGGAGUUGGCCACCUCUGGACUAGAUGAUCCUACUGAUCCCUUCCAACUCUAUGAUCCAAGCUUCAAGCAAGCCCCAUGCACAAGCUUAUUAACACUCCCAAGGAACUGUGAAAGAUUAAUGAGACACAACUUACUUUUGCAAAAACCAUGUUGAUCCUGCUUUGGAAGAUUUGGGUUUGCAUAUUUUUGAUUAACUUUAAUAAUGCUUUCCACCCACCAAUUUACCUAGAACACACGUUAAACUAAAUGGCCUACAAUUUCCUGGAUUCCCUCUGGAUCCAUUGUUUAAAUUGUGUGCUACAUUGGCCACUUUCAAGUUCUUAGGAAUGGAGGCCAAUCUUAGGAACUCGUUACAUAUUAUUUGUUAGGUUAGCAGUUUCACGUGUGAGUUCUUUAAGAACUGUCACUGUUGGGCUAAAGUGGGGGACUCCCAUUCACAUCCCCUUCCGGUCAUGAAGUUCAUGGGGUAACCUUGGGCCAGUCAGUUUGUCAGCCUAACCUACAUCAGAGGGUAGGCUGGAAAGAUAAAACAGCAAUGUGGUGGAAAUAACCAUUGACACCACAAUGAGGAAAAGUAGGUGUUGUUUUGGAAAAAACGCCCCCAAAGGUAUAAAAGUAAAAAGCAAGGGAAACUAGUCCUAUACCAAAAUUAAAUUUAAAUUAAAUUAAAUCAAUAGGGUUCAUGUGGAGGACAGCAAGGCUCACUUUAGAUCCUCACCCUUGAGCAAUGCCUACAAGUAAUUACAGUGGUACCUUGGUUCUUGAACUCAAUCCGUUCUCGAAAUCUGUUCGACUUCCAAAACGUUCGCAAACCAAGGUGCGGCUUCUGAUUGGCCCCGGAAACAAUGCCGACAGCUGAAAUGGACAUUUGGCUUCCAAAAAACGUUCGCAAGCCAGAACACUUCUGGGUUUGUGCCAUUCGGCAGCCAAGGUACCACUGUAAUCCUUGCAUGGACAUUGGGGUGGGAGUCACUGACAAGAGGUGAGGUUUUGCUCUGCUCCACGUAUUAGCUCUAUGAAGGUCAUGCAAUUUUCUGAUGAGGGCUACAGUCUGCAGUGGGGUAGCCCUCCAUGUGCUGCACUUCAACUCCCUUCAGUCUCCAAUUCCCAUCACCCCCAGCCAGCAUAGCCACUGGUCAGGGAUGAUGGGAACUGUAGUCCAACAAACAUUGUGACUGCACUAUGUUGGCUGCCCUUGGUCUCCAGAAUGUGUGAAAUGUCAAUGGAUGAAAUAUUGCUUCAUAUGAGCUAUGGAGACAAAGAUGUUCUCAAUCGUAUUUCUCUUUGUAUCAUACAGUGGAAGAAAGAUUCGGAGAAUAUCAUAGGCAUCAGUGCAGUUCUUACUCCAUUGGCCGAUUUAUAAGCGUUGCUGUGCAAUGGAUUCUGGCGAUCAGGAACCCUUCACCGUCACAACAAGCAUGCACAAAUACUUGGAACAAUGCUUGCUGGGACUGGGACAGAUUUGUCCGCAAGUCCAACAUGGUGGCUAUGGGGGAUGGCUAUGGUUCAGUGGCAGAACGUGUAUAUUGCAUGCAGAACGUCCCAGGUUCAGUCCCCAACUGGGAGAAAACAGUGUCUGAAAUUUUGGGAAGCCACUGUCAAUCAAUGUAGACAAUACUGAGACAGAUGGGCCAAUGGUCUGACUCAAUAAAAGGCAGCUCCCUAUGUUCCU